AGCACUUUUAACUGUGCUGACAGAUGUAAGUCCGACGUGCGACACCGCACUGCCAAAGAUGGCUUUGGGAUUAC
rnacentral:ncRNA from 1 species